UUUGCCGGCGAGCGGCGGACGGGGUGAGUAGUGCCUGGGAGAUUGCGCAGGUCAGAGGGGGAUAACAGUUGGAAACGACUGCUAAUACCGCAUACGCCCUACGGGGGAAAGCAGGGGACCUUCGGGCCUUGCGACGAUUGGAUAUGCCCAGGUGGGAUUAGCUUGUUGGUGAGGUAAUGGCUCACCAAGGCGACGAUCCCUAGCUGGUCUGAUAGGAUGAUCAGCCACACUGGAACUGAGACACGGUCCACACUCCUACGGGAGGCAGCAUUGGGGAAUAUUGCACAAUGGGGGAAACCCUGAUGCAGCCAUGCCGCGUGUGUGAAGAAGGUCUUCGGGUUGUAAAGCACUUUCAGCGAGGAGGAAAGGUUGAUGCCUAAUACGUAUCAGCUGUGACGUUACUCGCAGAAGAAGCACCGGCUAACUCCGUGCCAGCAGCCGCGGUAAUACGGAGGGUGCAAGCGUUAAUCGGAAUUACUGGGCGUAAAGCGCACGCAGGCGGUUGGAUAAUUAGAUGUGAAAGCCCCGGGCUCAACCUGGGAAUUGCAUUUAAAACUGUCCAGCUAGAGUCUUGUAGAGGGGGGUAAAAU
rnacentral:rRNA from 1 species